rnacentral:rRNA from 1 species
AUUGAACGCUAGCGGGAUGCCUUACACAUGCAAGUCGAACGGAGUGGCGAACGGGUGGGUAAUGUAACGGAACGUGCCCAGCAGCGGGGGCUAACUACGCGAAAGCGUAGCUAAUACCGCAUACUAAUGGAACGGCUGCUAUCGGUUUCGUUAGGUGGGGGGUUAACGGCUCACCCAGGCGACGAUCCAGAGCUGGUUUGAGAGGACGACCAGCCACACUGGGACUGAGACACGGCCCAGACGCCUACGGGAGGCAGCAGUGGGGAAGUGUGGACAAUGGGGGAUACCCUGAUCCAGCCAUCCCGCGUGUGCGAUGAAGGCCUUCGGGUUGUAAAGCACUUUUGGCAGGAAAGCGGUACCUGCAGAAUAAGCACCGGCUAACUACGUGCCAGCAGCCGCGGUAAUUC